UACGUAGGGUGCGAGCGUUGUCCGGAAUUACUGGGCGUAAAGAGCUCGUAGGUGGUUUGUCGCGUUGUUCGUGAAAACUCACAGCUUAACUGUGGGCGUGCGGGCGAUACGGGCAGACUGGAGUACUGCAGGGGAGACUGGAAUUCCUGGUGUAGCGGUGAAAUGCGCAGAUAUCAGGAGGAACACCGGUGGCGAAGGCGGGUCUCUGGGCAACAACUGACGCUGAGGCGCGAAAGCUGGGGGAGCGAACGGG
rnacentral:rRNA from 1 species